GGGGCGUGCUGGGUCUUUACUUAUUGUGUUGUUUCACCGAGAAGCAGGAGAAGAUCUUGUGCAUGCAGUGAGUCACGAAGGAAGGGAAACGUUGCUGGAACAGUGGUGAAGAAAAAUCUGAGCUCAGGUGAGCACAUGGGAGUGUUUUGGUUGUUGUUAUAUACGUUGUUGCAACGAUGAAUGCAGGGUGUGGGUAGAUGAAGAAGGUAGAUGACGAAGAAAGGAGGUGGUCCGAGCGUGAAAGUGUCGAAGAUGGGUGGUGCCUGAGGAAGAACACGAAGCACUUGUAUCCGGUUACAAGUUAAGCUGUAUCCGGAUACACACAGCAAUGCAAAACUGAAAAACUUUGUAUCCGGUUACCCCUGUGCUGUAUCCGAAUACCAUCAUCAUUUACCCUGUGCUGUAACAGCGUCAUUUCUUCUUCUUCUUCUUCUUCUUCUUCUUCUUCUUCUUCUUCUUCUUCUUCUUCUUCUUCUUCUUCUUCUUCUUCUUCUUCUUCUUCUUCUUCNN
rnacentral:lncRNA from 1 species